AGGUUUAUUUUCCCCCAACCGAUUCGAAGACCUCCCCUAUUCCUCUCUCGUGAUCUUGAUUUGUUGUCGGUCACCGGGCAUCAAUGCCGACCACCUCAAUGAGCCAAUCCUCGCCAGUAUGAUCCUCCUCUGCCGACAAUGCCUUAUGGAUCUCGGAGUCACAGCGUCUCUCUUCCGAUCUCAUUGAUGCAGGUGUCGCUCCGUUCGAUUGUCGCCACGCUGGGCGAUGAUGAGGUUGCCUCGCACUCAACCAGAUGUUGGAUGAUCAGAGCCCUAGCUCCGGUUCCUCACUGCAACAUCGAUGCGUCGUGCCUUAGACUAUCCGAUCUUUUUCUGUCCCAUUGAUUUCUGUCGAUCAUCGGAGUCAGUAAGCAUGAGCCACCGCUGGUUUCUUGACAACCAUGAGCGAUGUCAUCAAAUCGUUGUCGGAUGCUGUUGGAUGCAGCCGAUUACUGAUGUGGCUCCAGCAGCGAUCUUCUUCAGCAGCAAAUCAUCAGCUGGGGCAUUUAGAUUUGGGGGUAGCAGUUAGAUGGUUGGUGUGUCACUUGGAGUAUCCUGUCUAUCGAUCCUACGUCACAUCUGAAGAUCAUUUUGGGUUUCGUUUAUGCAUUACUUGUAUUUAGUGUUGUUGUUGUAUUUGUGUUAUUGUAUAAAGCCUAGCCAGCUAGCCGUGUGUUGAUUUGGUUUGUAUGGGCUUUUCUUUAUCGUUUUUCCGCUGUGUUAGUUUUUUUAUACAGUCGAGUGGGAUGUUUAUUGUAUAUAUAUAACUGUGUGGUUGUGUUUUAUUAUGUUCUAGCUGAGUGGACUGAAUAUAAACUGUGUAGUUGUGUAUAUAUUCAAGUCGUAUGUAGCUGAUGUAUUUUUUA